UGGGGAAUAUUGCACAAUGGGCGCAAGCCUGAUGCAGCCAUGCCGCGUGUGUGAAGAAGGCCUUCGGGUUGUAAGCACUUUCAGCGAGGAGGAAGGGUUCAGUGUUAAUAGCACUGUUCAUUGACGUUACUCGCAGAAGAAGCACCGGCUAACUCCGUGCCAGCAGCCGCGGUAAUACGGAGGGUGCAAGCGUUAAUCGGAAUUACUGGGCGUAAAGCGCACGCAGGCGGUUUGUUAAGUCAGAUGUGAAAUCCCCGCGCUUAACGUGGGAACUGCAUUUGAAACUGGCAAGCUAGAGUCUUGUAGAGGGGGGUAGAAUUCCAGGUGUAGCGGUGAAAUGCGUAGAGAUCUGGAGGAAUACCGGUGGCGAAGGCGGCCCCCUGGACAAAGACUGACGCUCAGGUGCGAAAGCGUGGGGAGCAAACAGGGAUUAGAUACCCU
rnacentral:rRNA from 1 species